UGUAACCUAUGCUUUAUUAUAAAUAAAGGGAUAAGGAACUGCUCGGCGCGUCUCUGCCUCAGAACGUGAGCUGAGCAGGGUGCCCUUUGUACAAAGAAUAUCGUGUCUCUGACUUUUUUUCUUGAUUCUCUCCAGCAGGUUAGGGCGAUUUCCCCUGACAUUUCUUGGUCCUUCGAGCCGGAUGAUUGCUCUGAUCGGCGACAGGAGGGACGACCCGUAAGUCUGUCGACAGCCAGUCUCACAGGAGAUUGAGAAGCCCCAGGACGUGAAUUCGGCCCUGGGCCGGGGUUUUAGAACCGAACCUCCUGCCGUUCGAUUGGAGAGUCAUCCGAACAACUGAGAGUCAUUAAAGUGAGUAUGAGACACGUAAAGAUUCUAGUUGAAUCUAGACAAUUGUCGGCUCCGAGUGGAGCGCUCUAGAUGAGCACAGAAGUCCUAAUAUAGUUGGACAAGCGCGCGGUUCCGAGUGGAACAGCUCCGAGUGGAGCACUCUAGAGAAGCCUAGUUGGCACAAAACUGAGUGAAUGAGUUUGUUUAUGUUCUGUGUUUUGAGAAACGCUCAUUAAAAAACUCUAGUGAGUUUGCGAUCUCAAUUUUUUGUUUUAUCCAAUUAGGAUUACGUACAAACGGUGUUUUGAGUAAGCUCUACCCGCAGUAAAUUAGUUACUGUAGAAGCUUGGUGGAGGAACUUCACUCAAUUUCACCUCAUGUUUGUGACAUCCUAAAAGGAACCAUCAUAGUGGAAAAUCAAUGAGCUUAGUCAUUGUACAUUUUGUAUCAGAUCACGAAAAAACUGAUUAUUUUUGGACUCCCCCGUUCUAGUCUGAAACAUUACUAUUGCAAAUAGGAAUUAUCUAUUCGACCGGGCGAAUAUUUGUAGACAGAAAUAGACAGAGACAGAGCGGAAGAAAUAAUGUUUAAAUUACAGUGCACUAAAAAACAGGAGCCAAUAUGGGCAAUAAAUCAUCCAGGAGCAGGGCAGAUAAGCAUAAGAUGGAUGACAAAACAUAACUUUACAGGUAAACUAGACACGAAAGAAGUUCUAGGUCUCCAAGUCAAUUAAAAAAAAAAAAAAGAAAAAUGAAAUUUCUCAAACAGAAGGCAAAAGAGAAGGCCAGAAGAGAAAGAGAAUAUGAAGCAAGUGACAAAUGGUUAGAAGAAUGUCUGCGAAGGGGUAAACAGAGACAGGAAAAGAAAACAAGGAAAAGGCAAUAAAAAUCGCAGCAGCUCUAGUGAAAACAGAUGAAGAAACAGCCGUGAAUAGGCAGAGAGCACAAACCAGAGUAGAAGAAAAUGAAGCUGCAGAUAAACAGGAGCCAAGGUCAAGUCCAAGCAGAGGAGUAAAACAAGACGAGACAGAGAAAAACAGAGGGAGCUGACGGAGCGAGCUAGAACUCGUGCACAGGAGCGAGAGAGAAAAGGAAAAAGAAAAAUAAAGAAACUCAAAGAACCUAACCUAUAUCCACACAAUGACUUAGAACAAACGGUACGCCGUUUCAGACCAGGACAUGACAUUGACAAGGAUAUAGAGGACUGUGACGACUGCGGACCGACUCAUGUUACUGUAUGUCCACUCAUAGAAGUUGCAAACCCGAGGUUUGGCCAACCUACGGGCGAGCAAGACGACCGUGGUGGACCCAUUGUAGACGUACAACCAACAAUGCUGGUUUACAGACCGUGGAGUAAUCAUGACAGAAAGAAAGCCACAUCGGGUAUCCCACACCCAAAAGAUGGUCUGAACGAAUUUAUCAGUGGCAUGCAAGGACUUAAAGUGAGCUACAGAUUAAAUGGUACAGAACUACAACAGUGUUUGCAGGACGUUCUGACCUCAGACUGGGGGAGAGUACGGGGAGACUAUACAGGACUGGACACUAGAGGAAGCCCUCUAACAAUCGCAAUAAUUGCAGUUUUGUCAAAUAGCAAUAUCUGACACAAUAAGAGACGUUUUUCAAUUCAAAUAAAAUUGUGGUUGACAGUUGAAUCAAUGAAUAGACAUAUACGUGUUUAUAAUUUAAAAUUUAUUUAAAGAAGAAAAAUGGGACAUAUAGAAAAAAGUGACUUUGAUGACUU
ensembl:lncRNA